CACGUAGGGGGCGAGCGUUGUCCGGAUUCAUUGGGCGUAAAGAGCUCGUAGGCGGCUCAGCAAGUCGGGUGUGAAACCUCCAGGCUCAACCUGGAGACGCCACUCGAUACUGCUGUGGCUAGAGUCCAGUAGGGGAGCGUGGAAUUCCUGGUGUAGCGGUGAAAUGCGCAGAUAUCAGGAGGAACACCAGCGGCGAAGGCGCCGCUCUGGGCCGUAACUGACGCUGAGGAGCGAAAGCAUGGGUAGCAAACAGG
rnacentral:rRNA from 1 species